rnacentral:misc_RNA from 1 species
GAAAUGCGAUACGUAAUGUGAAUUGCAAAUUCAGUGAAUCAUCGAGUCUUUGAACGCACAUUGCGCCCCCUGGUAUUCCGGGGGGCAUGCCUGUCCGAGCGUCAUUUCUGCCCUCAAGCACGGCUUGUGUGUUGGGCCCCGUCCUCCGAUCCCGGGGGACGGGCCCGAAAGGCAGCGGCGGCACUGCGUCCGGUCCUCGAGCGUAUGGGGCUUUGUCACCCGCUCUGUAGGCCCGGCCGGCGCUUGCCGAUCAACCCAAAUUUUUAUCCAGGUUGACCUCGGAUCAGGUAGGGAUACCCGCUGAACUUAAGC